AUUCAUCUGACGAGUCCCAAAUAGGACGAAAAGUGGGUCAUGGAU
rnacentral:hammerhead_ribozyme from 1 species